rnacentral:tRNA from 1 species
GGGCCCAUAGUCUAGUGGUUAUGAUGCCUGCUUGACAUGCAGGAGAUCACCGGUUCGAAUCCGGUUGGGCCCA